UAUAUAUAUGUGUGUGUGUUUGUGUGAAUAAUAGAUUUACCAUAAAGAGACUUAAAAUUUUUCAUCAAAACAAAAAUGACUGUUACAAAACACUUUAUUUUUCUCGUAUUGUUCUUCUUCCUAUUCUCAUGUGUUUCAUUAUUUGUGGAGGCACAAAAUUGUCCAAUCACUAUUGUUACAAGUGAUAUUUGCACCAACACUUUGUGCACCCAAUUAUGCGCUGGAACGUUUGGCUCAAAAGUAACUGGUCAAUGCCGCGGCAAAUAUAAGUGUUGUUGUUCAUCAUAAACUUUUGUAGUUACUGCUUUAUGUGAUUCCAAUAAAUUAAUGAAAUAAGGUUUUCAUAAAAGUAA